rnacentral:rRNA from 1 species
AUACGUAGGGUGCGAGCGUUGUCCGGAAUUACUGGGCGUAAAGAGCUCGUAGGUGGUUUGUCGCGUCGUCUGUGAAAUUCCGGGGCUUAACUCCGGGCGUGCAGGCGAUACGGGCAUAACUUGAGCACUGUUGGGGAGACUGGACUUCCUGGUGCAGUGGUGACAUGCGCAGAUAUCAGGAGGAACACCGGUGGCGAAGGCGGGUCUCUGGGCAGUAACUGACGCUGAGGAGCGAAAGCAUGGGUACCGAACAGGAUUAGAUACCCUGGUAGUCCAUGCCGUAAACGGUGGGCGCUAGGUGUAGGGGUCUUCCACGACUUCUGUGCCGUAGCUAACGCAAUAAGCGCCCCGCCUGGGGAGUACGGCCGCAAGGCUAAAACUCAAAUGAAUUGACGGGG